UUCCCAACCUUUAAAAAUGCCAAAAUCUUAUCAACAAUAGCAUAAAGAUGCCGGGAGCCAACCUACGCUGCCUGCCUGAUGGCACAGCCCAGGAGGCCGAUGGAUGGAUGCCACACAGCGGACCUUCAAAAGGAAGGCUAGUGAUAUCACUUCUAUUGCUUAAAUUGACCAUUUCCCCAGUCCAAACAGCCCUCGUGAAUCAGAAAAUGCCCCUGGAGAAGAGGACUGUUAGGAACAGUGCGGCAAUCAUAAAAACCCAAACCCAGCUUGUGAAACAGGACACUCCCCUUAUCUAAAGAGAGAAUGAAGCCCUACACAUUCCCCCCAGGCCGGUGGGAUGUUAUCCCUGGGCUGGGAAAUAGAAGAAAGUUCAGGUGAAUCCAGGGUACAGCUCCCAGGCCAACUUGGCCCCAGGAGAAACAAGAGAUGACUUACAUGGGGUGUGGGUCAGGAAAGCAGGUGGAAAAAUCUUGGUAGAGUCCCCUUAUGAAUCAUUAUUAUAGAAAUUACAGUAAGCAUUGUUAUACUCAAAAUCAACAGACUGAGGGCUGCUCAUUCCACUGUAAACAGUUUAAGGGAAUUAUGGAAAAAACUUGCCCCACAGCAAACCUAGGUGGCAGUCCGAUUGAGCAAGUUUUAAGACAUUGUGGUGCCUUUAACCUGAGAUUAGAAUCUAAAACUAUGAGAGCAACAGAAAAAUCGUGAGGAACAAAACAUGAUGACCUUUCAUGGUUAGGAAAGCAGGGGAACAUUCCGAGAAGUAGAUUAUGCCAUAAAUCACUGAAUGACAUAUGCCUUAUGAUGAUUUUAUGAUGAUUUUUUGUAACCAAUUCCCUUUAUAUUGCUUGAUGUUUCUGCCAAUAAACAGGCUGGCUUAGCAACUUUGCUAGAGUCUGUGUCCUCACUCGCCGAUGCCGUUUCUCCUUCAGGGACUCCUGGACUCACUGGAGCUGGACUCUGAUGAGGUGGUGCCCGAAAAGGGACCUGAAGGACUCAGACGCCCCCGUGUGGAUACCAGAUAGACUCAUCAGACAUGUCUCGCCCGCCUCACCCGCCAGCACCUCCUCUUCCACACAACUUUCUGACCCCUCCGGAAAGUCCCCGGCCGAGAAGAAACCUUGAGGAACCUCUAGUGCAGCUCUUGCAGAACCUCACGCUGCAGGAGCUCCGAAGACCUCGCCGUCGGUAUCCAGUUCCUCCGCGGCGGCGGUUCGCGAGAUCAACUCGAUCCUCUUCAAGCUCUUAAAGAACAGCAUCCAGAAGGUUGCAGCCGAGCUUCAUACCUUCAAAUUAAAAAAUAAAAAAAGGGGGAGAUGCCGGGAGCCAACCUACGCUGCCUGCCUGAUGGCACAGCCCAGGAGGCUGAUGGACGGAUGCCACAAAACGGACCUCCAAAAGGAAGGCUACUGAUAACUCUUCUAUUGCUUAAAUUGACCAUUUCCCCAGUCCAAACAGCCCUCGUGAAUCAGAAAAUGCACCUGGAGAAGAGGACUGUUAGGAACAGUACAGCAAUCAUAAAAACCCAGCUUGUGAAACAGGACACUCCCCUUAUCUAAAGAGAGAAUGAAGCCCUACACAUUCCCCCCAGGCCAGUGGGAUGUUAUCCCUGGGCUGGGAAAUAGAAGAAAGUUCAGGUGAAUCCUGGGUACAGCUCCCAGGCCAACUUGGCCCCCAGGAGAAACAAGAGAUGACUUACAUGGGGUGUGGGUCAGGAAAGCAGGUGGAAAAAUCUUGGUAGAGUCCCCUUAUGAAUCAUUAUUAUAGAAAUUCAGUAAGCAUUGUUAUACUCAAAAUCAACAGAAUGAGUGCUGCUUAUUCUACUGUAAACAGUUCAAGGGAAUUAUGGAAAAAACUUGCCCCACAGCAAGCCUAGGUGGCAGUCCAGUGGAGCAAGUUUUAAGUUAUUGUGGUGCCUUUAACCCGAGAUUAGAAUCUAAAACGAUGAAAGCAACAGAAAAAUACUGAGGAACAAAACAUGAUGACCUUUCAUGGUUAGGAAAGCAGGGGAACAUUCCGAGUAGAUUAUGCCAUAAAUCACUGAUGACACAUGCCUUAUGAUGAUUUUAUGAUGAUUUUUUGUAACCAAUUCCCUUUAUAUUGCUUGAUGUUUCUGCCAAUAAACAGGCCAGCUUAGCAACUUUGCUAGUGUCUGUGUCCUCACUCGCCGAUGCCGUUUCUCCUUCAGGGACUCCUGGACUCACUGGAGCUGGACUCCAGCAGGAAGGGGUUGAAAGUAUCUGUCCCUUUCCCCUGUUGAUCUUAAGUUCUUAAUGAGAAUGCAAGAAUUUAAGUCUGUGCUCCAGAAUAUACAUAAAUCAUAUGCCUUGACAUAAGAAGCCCUGUGUGGCUGUGUUUUCACCAAGACAGAAUGGAUGCCUCCAGGACAAAUCAAUGUGCUUGAAGCUGUCUGAACUAAAAAUGCUGCUUUCCCAUGCAAAACCAAAUAGAAGUUCAACUUUCAAUAGAUUCCUUCACUUUAGGUUCCUUUAUUUGAAAUAUAAAUAAUGCAUUGGCCUUAUAGCAAUGAUGCAGAUGUUGUGGUAAAUGAAGUCCUACAACAGUUAUUCAACUGAGCAUCUGUCAGACAGUCCAAAACCCAGUGUAUGAUAUUAAUGGGCAUUCUGAUUUUCUGUACAAUGCCUCCAGCAUUUGGGAGAGUCUUAAAAAUGCUAAUGACAUCACUUCUCAUUAUAACCUAAUACUGGAAGCAAUCUGGUGCCAGUAAUUCAAAUAAGUAGACAUUCCCUGUGUUUGUUCAGUUAGAGCCAAAUUUUUAAAUGUCACUAGCCCUUUUUAUUUGUGUGUGUACCUAGGUAUAAUUUGUCCCACAAAUGCUCUAUAUAACUAUAAGUGAUUUCUAUAGUCUCUAGCAUAGUAUUAGGAUCAUAGGAGUAUUUAAAAGUGACUUAUCAAAUGAAUAUGUGUCUUGUGUCUCUUUACUAUAUUCUUAGUAACAAAAAUAAAGAAAUUAGACAAAAUCUGGCCUGGGUAACAGGCAAAUAACAUUUGAUAAGGUAAGAGGCCUGUAAUUGUGUUUCUCUUGCCUACUGAUAUGAUUGCUGCAAAUUACUAAGGCACUGGAAACAUGAGAUGACUUUUGGUGGACAUUGACAACCUGGUAAAAUUGUUUGUCAACCACCAUACUGAGAAUCAGUGUGAAUAAUUCCGAAUUGUGAAUUUACAUGUGAAUAUAAAUUUAUUAUAAAAACUAAUUUAAUAAAUUGACAAAGCUAAAAUAAGAACU